GAAUUGACGGGGGCCCGCACAAGCGGUGGAGCAUGUGGUUUAAUUCGAUGCAACGCGAAGAACCUUACCUGGUCUUGACAUCCACGGAAGUUUUCAGAGAUGAGAAUGUGCCUUCGGGAACCGUGAGACAGGUGCUGCAUGGCUGUCGUCAGCUCGUGUUGUGAAAUGUUGGGUUAAGUCCCGCAGCGAGCGCAACCCUUAUCCUUUGUUGCCAGCGGUCCGGCCGGGAACUCAAAGGAGACUGCCAGUGAUAAACUGGAGGAAGGUGGGGAUGACGUCAAGUCAUCAUGGCCCUUACGACCAGGGCUACACACGUGCUACAAUGGCGCAUACAAAGAGAAGCGACCUCGCGAGAGCAAGCGGACCUCAUAAAGUGCGUCGUAGUCCGGAUUGGAGUCUGCAACUCGACUCCAUGAAGUCGGAAUCGCUAGUAAUCGUGGAUCAGAAUGCCACGGUGAAUACGUUCCCGGGCCUUGUACACACCGCCCGUCACACCAUGGGAGUGGGUUGCAAAAGAAGUAGGUAGCUUAACCUUCGGGAGGGCGCUUACCACUUUGUGA
rnacentral:rRNA from 1 species